UGUAAGAUUUUAAGGAGCUGGACAGUUUACUUUGUAAAAGUUCAAAGAACAAUAUUCAUAGUUAAAUAAUUUUGUUACCAUAGAAACAAUCUGAUGUUCUGAGUCUAAUCUUUGACAUUGAGUUCUGUUUGUUAACAAAUACAUCUUACUUAGCUACUGUUAUUACUUUUUAGAUUGGUCAAUUAAACUACCCCCUUCUCCCAGAAUUUACAAAAUCCAUUUUGAAAUGCUGUUAGAGGUGCUGAUGUUCUUAGCAGGAAGAGGGGCCCCUAAGUAAAAUUCUGCUCAAACCCUGCAUGAUGAGUAAAAUUUGCUGCCUUGUGCAGCGGGACAAAGAGGAGAUUUAAUUUAUGUGGUUUUAGUAGCUCUUCCAUUUCAUGUCUGUUAAGUUUUUAAUAAACGCCACAGAAACUGUUUUGGUUGCCUGAGCUUUACAGUAUGAGUUUUUCUGAUCUCGGCACGGCCUCUUAGUCAGUCAGCAUUAGUGGUUCAGCUGAACCGCUUUACCACUAAGGCACUGGCCAACUGGGACCACAUGCAUAAACUUUAUCAGCGCAGACACAGAGCCACACGCUGGGCAGUGACGUAAAUGCACAUGCCACACAUAAUUUUUUCUUUACAAAGAUAUAUCAUUCUCAUUGCACACCUCUGAAAGUACAGUAAUGGGUUAAAUCGUAGAGUUGUGCAAGCACAGCUCUAUGACCACAGCGUUGGGUUUUAAAUUCUUACCCUGGUGUAAAGUUCUCCAAAGAAACACGAUUCCUCACAGGGGAUUGAUGUCAAUAUCCAUACAGGUCAGCCUGUGUCCAGUUUGAGUGAAAGGGGGAAUGCAAUCUGUGCUGAGGUAAACUUAAGAGAGCAAGCAGCGACAGCCUGUGAGACAACGCGCAGAGGCAAAGCGCAGAAGCAAAGGGCCCAAGUAAAGCCUUUUUCUCAUGCAACUUUUCUGCACCACCCUUUCUUGAAAAACCAGUCAGCACUGUGGGCCGGGCUCCACCCUGUGGCUCUGUCAGACAUGGCAGAGUCACACCAAUAUAACAAUCUUUUUUUCCAUCAACAGAACUAUAUGAUUGGUUUGGUACAAAUUCAAAAGUGUUAAAUGUUUCAGUGUUAGUAGAUUUUUUUGCAAAAGCAGUAAAUUUCACUCUAAUCGAGCCGCAUUAUGUAACUAUGGGCUGUAUAUUAUUAGUAGUUAAAAUCGAGUGUUAAAACAAAGUGUUUCCGUAUCAAAUCUAGAAUUGUUAAAAUGGAAUCAAUAAAUCUUGACUUCUUAACUCUGAACUCCAGAAUCUCAGGUUCCCACCAAGCCAAGCAACAGAAUCCAAGUCAUUUCACAACAAUUUGCUUUGCACAUGUCUGAGUUGUUCACCACGCUUGAUAUUAAGAGCACUUUGGUUGAGGAUGAAUCUCCAGUCGUCAGCGUCAGUCCCUCUCGCACCCUCACCCUCCAUGGCGUCUUCCAAGAUUCAUGCUCCAAAAAUGGUUAAGUGUUAAUAUCUCUGAAACUCCACAUCGCUGUAAUUGAGGCUUGUUGUUAUAGUUAUAGUAAAAAUGCAUUCCUUUGUUCCAUUUUUCAUUCUUAUGUUUUUUGUUUGUUAUGAUCCAGAGACCAACACUGGCUGUAUUACUUGUCCAGUGCAGUCAGUACCUAUGAGCAGUUGGUGUUUUUGUCCCCGGCCAAGCUUCCAUUUCAAUUUCAUACAUGUUGUAUUGAAGAAAAAUGUAUUUAGCAUACUGUUUUUUGUUUUGCCCAGCUGAUAUAUCAGGCCUUUUGAUAAGCAAUAUGUGAAUGAAAGUGACAUGUGAAACAUGAACGUGUACAUUAUUCCACGUUGUUACAUGUUGUGAAAUAAAUGCAUCUCAGAAAAUCA